UACGAAGGGGGCUAGCGUUGCUCGGAAUCACUGGGCGUAAAGGGUGCGUAGGCGGGUUCUUAAGUCAGAGGUGAAAUCCUGGAGCUCAACUCCAGAACUGCCUUUGAUACUGAGAGUCUUGAGUUCGAGAGAGGUGAGUGGAACUGCGAGUGUAGAGGUGAAAUUCGUAGAUAUUCGCAAGAACACCAGUGGCGAAGGCGGCUCACUGGCUCGAUACUGACGCUGAGGCACGAAAGCGUGGGAGCAAACAGG
rnacentral:rRNA from 1 species